CAUGCAAGUCGAACGGAAAGGCCCUUUCGGGGGUACUCGAGUGGCGAACGGGUGAGUAACACGUGGGUGAUCUGCCCUGCACUUUGGGAUAAGCCUGGGAAACUGGGUCUAAUACCGAAUAGGACCACGCGCUUCAUGGUGUGUGGUGGAAAGCUUUUGCGGUGUGGGAUGGGCCCGCGGCCUAUCAGCUUGUUGGUGGGGUAAUGGCCUACCAAGGCGACGACGGGUAGCCGGCCUGAGAGGGUGUCCGGCCACACUGGGACUGAGAUACGGCCCAGACUCCUACGGGAGGCAGCAGUGGGGAAUAUUGCACAAUGGGCGCAAGCCUGAUGCAGCGACGCCGCGUGGGGGAUGACGGCCUUCGGGUUGUAAACCUCUUUCAGUAUCGGCGAAGCUCCAGGAUUCUUCUUGGGGUGACGGUAGGUACAGAAGAAGCACCGGCCAAC
rnacentral:rRNA from 1 species